rnacentral:rRNA from 1 species
UACGUAGGGUGCAAGCGUUAAUCGGAAUUACUGGGCGUAAAGCGUGCGCAGGCGGUUUUGUAAGUCUGUCGUGAAAAUCCCCGGGCUCAACCUGGGAAUUGCGAUGGAGACUGCAAGGCUAGAAUCUGGCAGAGGGGGGUAGAAUUCCACGUGUAGCAGUGAAAUGCGUAGAGAUGUGGAGGAACACCGAUGGCGAAGGCAGCCCCCUGGGUCAAGAUUGACGCUCAUGCACGAAAGCGUGGGGGAGCAAACAGG